UUUGAAUGAAUAAGAUCAAUGAAUAAAUGCGUUUUAGAAUUUUGUCUCAAAUAUGUCCUUAGUUGUUAAUGGUUUCAAAAAUGUAUUUAGUGAAGAUCGUUCAAAUAAUUUGUUUUUAUUCAUAUUAUUUGUACGAUGAAUAUACAUUUUUUCAUAUGCAUUUAAUAACUUUGGGUUAUUUAUUUGUUUUAAUAACCGAAAACCUGCUAGGUUAUGAUUAUUGCUUAUCAUGUGAUCAGCUGGUGUUGAUUGAUUAACUGUUAGAGUGGAUAGAUUUAUAAUGUUCUGACCAUCUUAUUUUAGCCGUUCUACUCGUUUGGCCACUGUUAACUUCAUUACAAUCUUGACAAAUAACGGAAUAAAUUCCAGUACUGUUCGGUGAUAAUUUAAUUGAAUAAUUACUAAGCACUUUCAUCAAGGAAUAUGUCAACCCUUCUACAAACGUACCACCCAUGUAAGUGAUCGCUAUUUCUUUAUUCGAAAGUAAAGUUGUUAUGUGUCUCAAGUCUUUUUUCCUUUUAUGUUUUUUCAAUAAAGAAUUGACAAUACUCUAUUCUUUUUUAAAAAAGUUUGGCAACCCUAAGCAAACACAACAAUCUUAAAAAUAAACUUUUGUGCUAUAGGCAGUUUGCCGUCAACAUUCCUUAAAAGGAAUCAACAGAGGCAAACAACCAAAUAACAACCAACCAACUAUAGUUACGUUAUUAUUUGGGAACCUAGACGUAAGGUAAACCGUAAAACAAAGAAGAAGAAUAAUUGUUGACAAAAGGCGAUAGUAUACCGUAAUUGUCACGCAAUUAAUUAAUCCAAUUUUAAAAAGUAUUCAAUGAAAAAAAGGCAUUUUCUUCAACUGCGUUUGAAAUUGUUUUCAUCGUCAUUGCUAUUGUUCAAUGGUCGGCUGUAAUUGUUAUUGAAAUAAAAAGUUUCAUGUUCAUCCCUGAAAUUGGGAUUACAUUAUUAUCCAACCUCAAACCUUGCAAGUUUCUAGAGGCCAUUCAAAGGAAUUAUAAAAUGAGACAGUAUGAACGCCCACUUGGAAACUACCUACAAUGUCAGAUUAAUUAAGAAGCUACCAUUCUCAUCAGAAAAUCUUUCUUCCAAAAUGCUUCGUUGACAGAAUUGCUUAAAAAUGUCAGGUUGCAAAGAAAAAAAGGGAAAGGAAUCAUCCUAAAACAAAAAAUCGAUAUUUUCCAAGGGAAUGGCUUAUCAAAUCUUGUUGUUGGAUUAGAGAAGUAAAAAUAUAUUAAAUAAAUUUGUAAUACUUACAUGAUUAAUCGAGAUAUAAGUGCGCUAAUCAUUGCGUCUGUUUCAACAAGUUUCCAUUAAGAUUUUAAAUUUAUUAUGUUUCUUAUUUGGAAAAAAAAUGAAGACUUCUUUUUAUAAAUUUAUAUUCUCUUCUCCUGCACUUUCAAAUGGAGAUACACCGAAGAAGACGAAAAAAAAAGUUGGCAGGAGCGCAAUGGAACAAAGAAAAAAAUGGUGUAAUUGUGUGAUUAUUUCAAUUGCAGUUUUAAUUCCCGUUUGUAGUUAAAGUAGAAGUAUAUUUUUAU